AUUUUCUGCCACCGAAUACAUUAGCAUGGGAUAAUGGAAUAGGACCCUGUCCUCCUAUUUUCAGUUGGUUUUGGCAGCGCGAGGACUAGGGUAAUGAUUAAUAGGGAUAGUUGGGGGCAUUAAUAUUUAAUUGUCAGAGGUGAAAUUCUUGGAUUUAUGAAAGAUUAACUUCUGCGAAAGCAUCUGCCAAGGAUGUUUUCAUUAAUCAAGAACGAAAGUUAGGGGAUCGAAGACGAUCAGAUACCGUCGUAGUCUUAACCAUAAACGAUGCCGACCAGCGAUUAGGAGACGUUGAAUACAAAACACCACCAUCGGCGCGGUCGUCCUUGGCGUUCGUGUUCACGCACGGGCGCGAGGGCGGCUUAGCCCGAUGGCACCGGUGAAUGACUCCCCUAGC
rnacentral:rRNA from 1 species